CAUCUUAAAGUCUCUAGAAGCAAAUAUAAUAUUUAAAUAUAAAAGUCUAACUUGAAUUUUUACUCUCACAGUUAAAUAAUGUCUGCCUCAAACUCUCUAGUCCGCAUCUUUGAAACCAAUCGUUUGACCGAAACUAAUUACAAAGACUAGCUCAAAAAUCUUCGGAUUGUCUUGAUCUCUAAAAAAUUAGGUCAUGUACUCGACCAGAAAUCCAUAAUAUUAUCAAACCAUCCUACUGCUGA
rnacentral:lncRNA from 1 species